GGUAGCGUGGCCGAGCGGUGUAAGGCGCUGGCUUAAGGUACCAGUUUCUACGGUGGUGUGGGUUCGAAUCCAUCGUUGCCA